rnacentral:lncRNA from 13 species
AUGCACACACAUUCACGCUCACCAUUCACAUGCACACACUCACACCUAUUCAUACACAAUUGCACACACAUUCACACCAUUCACACACACAUACAUUCUCUGACCCAUUCACACACAUUCACAUUUACUCACAUACACUCCCACAUUCACACACAUCGACAUUUGCCCAUUCACCACACUCACACUCACAUUUACACACAUACAUUCACUCAUUUACAAUUAUACAUACACAUUCACGCACAUUCACCAUUCACACAUUUACACUCACAUUCCACCAUUCAUUCACACAUUUACACUCACACAUUCACACACAUUCACAUUUGCCCAUUCGCACAUUCACACACACAUUUACACACAUAUAUUUACACUCAUACACUCACCAUUCACACUCACCAUUCAUUCACACAUUUACACUCAAUCACACACAUUCACAUUUGCCCAUUCACACAUUCACACACAUUUACACACAUAUAUUCACACAUUUACACUCAUACACUCACCAUUCACACUCACCAUUCAUUCACAUUUACACUCACAUAUUCACACACAUUCACAUUUGCCCAUUCACACAUUCACUCACACAUUUACACACAUAUAUUCACACAUUUACACUCAUACACUCACCAUUCACACUCACCAUUCAUUCACACAUUUACACUCACACAAUCACACACAUUCACAUUUGCCCAUUCACACAUUCACACACACAUUUACACACAUAUAUUCACGCAUUUACAAUCAUACAUACACAUUCACACACCACCAUUCACAGAUUUACACUCAUUCACACAUUCACAUUCACCAUUCACACAUUUACACUCACACAUUCACACACAUUCACAUUUGCCCAUUCACACACAUUCACAUUUGCCCAUUCACACAUUCACACUCACACAUUUGCACACAUAUUCAUGCAUGUACAAUCAUACAUACACAUUCACCAUUCAGAUUUACACUCACAUUUACACAUUCACAUUCACCAUUCAUUCACAUUUACACACAUAUUCACACAUUCACAUUCACCAUUCACACAUUUAUAUUCACAUUCACAUUUGCCCAUGCACACAUUCACACACAUUUACACACAUAUAUUCACACAUUUAUGCUCACACUCACAUUCAAUCACGUUCACAUUCACUAUUCAUUCACACAUUUACACUCAUAUUCACACACAUUCACGCUCAUUCACACAUUUACACUUAUAGUCACUAA